rnacentral:rRNA from 1 species
AACGAACGCUGGCGGCAGGCUUAACACAUGCAAGUCGAACGCCCGUAGCAAUACGGGAGUGGCGGACGGGUGAGUAACGCGUGGGAACGUGCCCUGAGGUACGGAAUAACUGCGGGAAACUGCAGCUAAUACCGUAUGAGCCCCGCAAGGGGGAAAGAUUUAUCGCCUUAGGAGCGGCCCGCGUCGGAUUAGCUAGUUGGUGGGGUAACGGCUUACCAAGGCUUCGAUCCGUAGCAGGUCUGAGAGGACGAUCAGCCACACUGGGACUGAGACACGGCCCAGACUCCUACGGGAGGCAGCAGUGGGGAAUCUUGCGCAAUGGGGGCAACCCUGACGCAGCCAUGCCGCGUGAAUGAUGAAGGCCUUAGGGUUGUAAAGUUCUUUUGCCCGUGACGAUGAUGACGGUAACGGGAGAAUAAGCUCCGGCUAACUUCGUGCCAGCAGCCGCGGUAA